AUUUGUAAAAAAGAAUUUAAAAAUUCAGAAUAAUAGAGUAGUAAUUAAAUAAAUUAUAAUGUGCUACUGACUCACCAGAAGUUAUGUUUGUGGAGUCUUUAAUGACAUGGAGUCAAAGAUUAUAAUCAAAUGCCAAUUAAAUGAAAUAUGUGAUUUCAAUCUGGUAAAUAUGUGUGUGUGUGUGUGUGCGCGUGUGUGUGUGUACUUCCUCCGUUUGAAGGUACAUGUUUUUAUGUUUUACUGCUUCUUAAACUAAGAUGAAUCACACAAUAUAAUUCCUUUCUCUACUCAAAAAGCUGUUUUUACAUUGAUGCCUUAUCUCACAAGGAAUUGCAUCUUGGAAUCAAGGAAAGACUGUCCAUGUGCCUUAAAAAGAUAUUUCUUAUAUAAGUAGAAAAGAAAUUAUGUUUUAAAAGGAAAAGCCCCUUGUGGCAUACCUUUCAAGGCUGCUUCUCACUUUGGUCUUUAAAGAGCCUGUCUUAGAGGAGUUCCUCUGUGCCAUGUUUAUGGUUAUGUGUCCACUACCUGAUCGUCUAUUUACGUUACUAAAGAGGAAAUGAAGCCCACUUGGAGUGGAUUUUUAUUACGAACACACACUAGACCCUAGUGAAUAGUGAAUACACACUAUGAUCAACAUUUUAUUUGUAAGGUCAACGGACUGCCUGUUUAAUCAUCCUUUCUGGAAUUUUGCGAGAUAACAACAUCAAGUCUACUUAUUUACUGUUUCUAGAACCUGCUUCCAAACCCCGUAUUGCCUGUAUUUUCACUUCUGAAAAUCCAGAAUGUGUCUGUUUUGUUCCAGUCUCCUGACUUAUGUCAGGGUCCGUUGAUUCCAUGACUACCCCAAGUCACCUCACAAUCAUGCCUCCGAGGCCCCUUAGAAUCCUGGGGCACAGGUCCUCUGGAAACGGAGGGUAGGAUUCAUUCAAGUAGCCCGUUCUUUCUGGAAAUUCGUGUACCCUUUUAACCCAUGCUGGACUUUUUAAGUUUUGAAGAUCUGCAAAUUCUUUGACACUUCUACACUAAAAAGGUGGCGUUUACUUACCUUCCCCUUAAACACCGGCCGGACUCAGUGACUCGAUUCUGCUGAAUAGGGUGAGGAAGAAGAAGCCCUCGGACACUUCUGCGGCUGGGUGGGGAACAGCGACACGGCCUCCAAAUGACUCUGUAUCUUAGGAGAUGUGCCUUUGGGGAGCCUGAGCUGCCCUGUAAGAAAUCCAGAUACCCUACAGUUGCCAUGAUGCAGAGGGCAAGUGGAGACACCAUCUGGAGGAGCCCCUGUGGUGCUGGCCACCAGCUGUGUGCACCCUAAUAGCUAAAGCAAGGGCUGUUUCACGCCAGCUUAAGAGCUAUGAAUUUGGAACUUCAGGACUCAAAGCCCUUCAGAGCUACCAAGAAUGUCAUUUCAUUCACUGCCUGGCUGUAGAGAAAGAGUGACGGGGACGGAGCGGGGCUGCCAAGUGCCUCUGGGAGCCGAUUAGUAGGGGACUGGAGUGCCCUGGCUCCCCGGAUACAAAUGGAACGUAGUUACAGGGCCAAGCCAUGUAGGCCUUUAACGGAGAUAGCAUAUCAGCUUUCCCAUGACCCAGAACACAUGGGGACUUGGAGAUGACACUAUGCUCCACCUUGGUCAAGCCUCUGAGAUUCUGAAGCAGGAACAGUUAGAUACAACAAAACUUAAAAGGACGGAAUCUCUUAUUAUCAGAGCUUUGAGUUUUGUUACAGGAGCUGUGUUCUUUGGCCUGACCAGAAGGAAAUUCACUCUCCUUUUCAGAUGGAUAAGGUGCAGGGGUCUUUGGGUACCCCAGGUGGAUGGAAACAACCCCCAGCCAAAGGCUGUCAGAAAAGAAGUUUAGGUAAUAUUGCCCAGCUCAAUAACCAGUCUGGAAGAGGGCAUCAAGCAGGCCACUCAGGUUUCAGUUGAAGACCUACCUAAAAUACUCUGAAUUGGUUCAGCACAAGUCUUUCUAGUCCCUUCUCAAAGGCAGGAAAUGAUGACAUUUGACACGGGGGUACCUAAAGACACAGGCAACAGGGGCCAAACCAAGAGUGGACCUUGACCCCAUCACCUGGGCUGAUGUCUUCACUGAAACCCUCCAGACUUCAUGGUCUAUCACUUACCCUUGUGGCGAUAAUGAAGGAUAGACAGGAUCAGGGUCACACACUGAAAUGAGCUGUUGAAAUUUUCAAUGGCAACAGCAGAUUCUGAACUUGUGAUUCUCAGCCUGCGAGUGGUCCAGGUGUUGGUCUGUUGGAAGCAGACAGGCACAUUUCAUGCAGAGAUGAGCUCCACUGUUUUGUUUUGUUUUUUUUAUCAUCUAGUAUUACUGACACUUCUGUCUGUUAUAGAUAAAAUCCUAAUUAAAAUCAGAAAAACCAAAGAAGUCACUCUAAUGGGAAGACACGUGUCUUGGCUCUGCCACUAAUUAGUUUUGUGAUUUUGGCAGAUUCUUCAACUUCUUUGGGACUCAGUUUCCUAGUUUUCAAAGUGAGAGAAAACUCCUCAUUUCUAAGAGAGCCUACCCCGUCAGUCACUGAAGAGCCAUCACAGUAUCUAUGUGUGAUGAUCAUUAUCUGUGAUGAUAACCCUGUGAGGUUCUGGUUACUUGGACUUCUGUGGUGGUUUCAGUUUGAUCUCUCCUGGAGUAACAGCUGGCCAUUACUUCAUACUGCUGCAACGAAAAAUUCUAAGGCGCGCUUUGUGGAAGAGAAAUAAAGGGGAUCUGGUCUUUGAAGAUGUGGAAUAUGGUAACUACCUUGCCAGUAAACCAUGCUAUCGCCGUGGAAGACUCUGAAGGAGGACAAGCCCUGAGUUUCCUGGUUAUGUGUGAUUCACACCAGAUAAUCAAAAGACUGAGAGAGAAUGUUCUUCUGGAUGGAUAGAAGAGUUUGAUUUGUCAAUGGAUCCCAAGGUACAACUUGAAGAAGAGAAAAAUUAUUUUCUCAAAAAUCUUAAAAAUCACAGAUUUCUGAUCUAAUUGGCAGCACUUCCUAGCUUUAAAGGUUGAAUUUAUCUGAGCAAAAUGACUUGGGGCAAUUUGUGUAAUUACUUCACAGUUAUCUGCAGACAGACUGUGGAAACCACAUCUCUGCAGAUAAAUGCGCAGAUUCAGGUCACUAGGACAUACUCCUGACACCUGACACGCUGCGUGAGAUUUUUCUUCCCUCUCCCUGCUUCUCCCUCCCUUUUAGUAAUCUAAUCCUUUUAGCAAGAAUGCUAUUUUGUCAUGAAAAUACAAGGAAAUGAGAACAUUUUCUUGGUCUUAAAAUCUCAAACCCUAUUUGCUGAUACCAUCAGAUAAAGCAUUCUACUCAGGCUAGGUCCAAGGCUAUGAUAAGAUUUAUUUUCACAAGAUGGUAACAGUAUCGUAUCCUUUGAGGCUAAUCUUUAGAACAUGAGUACAUUUUUGUUGUUGAGUUGUCCUUUUUCUUCUAUAGUACUGAAAUGUUACAUCUUAUUCUUAAUAAUUAUUUUUCAAUGAAUUCCUUAUAAUUUAAAGAGAAACUUUCCUCAUUGGGCUCAUGUAUUUUACCCACCCAAAAUUGCAAAUAGAAUUUGUACAAUUUCAUGAGCUCUGACACGAAAAAUGUCGUAGGCAAUUCUGUAUAACAACUCAACAGCAGACGCAGAAGUGAAGAGCCAGCUGACAUCCUUGAAACUUCCAUGUGCUUGGGUUUAUGUUUAAAGGGCCAUUCAACAUAACAGAGUACAUUUGAAUAGAAAGGAAGUAAUUUUGAAAUGCUUUAUUCCAUUUACUUAGGGAAUAAUAUAAAUAAUGUUAUAAGAUAAAUUUUGCUCUCUGGUAACCCAAACAUUUUAAACAUUCAUUAUCUAGUCUUUGCUCCAUUUAUUUGAAAUGCAGUGGCAUAUUCAGAAAAUCUGAAAGAAAAAGAUUAAUUGCAAUUAUUUUACCAAUGGUAUUAUGGGAAAUUAUACCAGUUUAUGAAUAAAGGAAGCUAGAUACUUAAAUGCCUCCCUCAGUGUAAGAUGUCAAUAUGUUAUACUUCAGGAUAUACUAAGUAUAUCCUGUGGUUUGGAAAUUUAGAUUAUCAUCAUAGUUUUUUAGUUAUCAAGAGAAAUUACUUUUUAGAAAAUCAACUUUAUUGAGGUGUUAUUUACAUACAAUAAAAUGCAUCUAUUUUAAGCGUCCAUUUAGAUGAAUUAUGACAAAUAUAUACAUCUGUGGAACCGCAGUCACUACAAUCAAGAUAUAGAAUAUUCAGGGGCUGGCCCCGUGGCUGAGAGGUUAAGUUCAUGUACUCCGCUGCGUCGGCCCAGGGUUUCACCGGUUCGGAUCUUGGGCGCGGACAUGGCACCACUCAUCAGGCCACGUUGAGGUGGUGUCCCACAUACCACAACUAGAAGGACCUGCAGCUAAGAUAUACAGC
rnacentral:lncRNA from 1 species